UCAUGGGUGUCUCCACCAUGGCCUGGACCCCUCUCCUCCUGGGCCUCCUGACUCACUGCACAGGCUCUGUGUCUUCCUAUGAGCUGACUCAGCCACUCUCUGUGUCGGUGGCCCUGGGAGAGACAGCCAGGAUCACCUGUGGGGGAAACAACAUUGGUAGAAAAGUUGCUAACUGGUACCAGCAGAAGCCUGGCCAGUCCCCUGUGCUGGUCAUGUCUGAUAGCAGCCGGCCCUCAGGGAUCCCUGAGCGGUUCUCAGGCUCCAACUCGGGGAACAUGGCCACCCUGACCGUCAGCGGGGCCCAGGCUGGGGAUGAGGCUGACUAUUACUGUGGGGUGUGGGACAGUGACACUGCGUAUUUCUUUGGCGGCGGGACCAAGCUCACCGUCCUAGGUCAGCCGAAGGCCUCUCCCACUGUCAGUCUCUUUGCACCCUCCACUGAGGAGCUCAGAGGCAACAAGGCCACACUGGUGUGUCUGAUAAAUGGCUUCUACCUGCCAACCGUCUCCAUGGCCUGGAAGGCAGAUGGCAGCCCUGCCACCCAGGGUGUGGGGACCACCCAGCCCUCGAAACAGAGCAAGGGCAAGUACACGGCCAGUAGCUACAUGAGCCUGACAAACUGACGAGUGGAGAAGUGGCAACACAUUCAGCUGCCA